rnacentral:rRNA from 1 species
GACGAACGCUGGCGGCGUGCCUAAUACAUGCAAGUAGGACGCAGUUGCGAACGGGUGAGUAACGCGUAGGUAACUGCCUAUUAGAGGGGGAUAACUAUUGGAAACGAUAGCUAAUACCGCAUACUAGUAGAUGGACCUGCGUUGUAUUAGCAAGUGGGUAGGGGAACGGCCUGCCUAGGCAACGAUACAUAGCCGGCCCGGGAGGGUGAUCGGCCAACCUGGGACUGGGGUACGGCCCAACGUCCUACGGUGGGGAGCAUCAGGGGAUCUUCGGUAAUGGGGUGAACCCUGAGCGGGCAACUCCGCGUGAGUGGAGAAGGUUUUCGGGUCGUAAAGCUCUUUUAUUGAAGAAGCGGUACUUAACGAGAAAGGGACGGCUAACUACGUGCCAGCAGCCGCGGUAAUAC